GAUGAACGCUGGCGGCGUGCUUAACACAUGCAAGUCGAACGAGAAAUGGAGACGGAAACCUUCGGGCGGAAGGCUUCAUUUAGAGUGGCGGACGGGUGAGUAACGCGUGGGUAACCUGCCUCAUACAGGGGGAUAACAGUUGGAAACGACUGUUAAUACCGCAUAAGACCACAGCACCGCAUGAUGCGGGGGUAAAAACUCCGGUGGUAUGAGAUGGACCCGCGUUCGAUUAGCCAGUUGGCGGGGUAACGGCCCACCAAAGCGACGAUCGAUAGCCGAUCUGAGAGGAUGACCGGCCACAUUGGGACUGAGACACGGCCCAAACUCCUACGGGAGGCAGCAGUGGGGAAUAUUGCACAAUGGGGGAAACCCUGAUGCAGCGACGCCGCGUGAGUGAAGAAGUACUUCGGUAUGUAAAGCUCUAUCAGCAGGGAAGAAAAUGACGGUACCUGAGUAAGAAGCCCCGGCUAACUACGU
rnacentral:rRNA from 1 species